rnacentral:piRNA from 1 species
AUGACUCAGAGGUUAAGAGCACUGUC